GGGAAUAUUGCACAAUGGGGGAAACCCUGAUGCAGCCAUGCCGCGUGUGUGAAGAAGGCCUUCGGGUUGUAAAGCACUUUCAGCGAGGAGGAAAGGUCAGUAGCUAAUAUCUGCUGGCUGCGACGUUACUCGCAGAAGAAGCACCGGCUAACUCCGUGCCAGCAGCCGCGGUAAUACGGAGGGUGCAAGCGUUAAUCGGAAUUACUGGGCGUAAAGCGCACGCAGGCGGUUGGAUAAGUUAGAUGUGAAAGCCCCGGGCUCAACCUGGGAAUUGCAUUUAAAACUGUCCAGCUAGAGUCUUGUAGAGGGGGGUAGAAUUCCAGGUGUAGCGGUGAAAUGCGUAGAGAUCUGGAGGAAUACCGGUGGCGAAGGCGGCCCCCUGGACAAAGACUGACGCUCAGGUGCGAAAGCGUGGGGAGCAAAC
rnacentral:rRNA from 1 species